rnacentral:rRNA from 1 species
UACGUAGGUACCGAGCGUUAUCCGGAUUUACUGGGCGUAAAGCGUGUUCAGGCGGUCGGGCAAGUCGGGCAUGAAAUCUCUCGGCUCAACCGGGAGAGGUUGUCCGAUACUGCCGGACUGGAGGGCAGUAGAGGGUGGUGGAAUUCCGGGUGUAGUGGUGAAAUGCGUAGAGAUCCGGAGGAACACCAGUGGCGAAAGCGGCCACCUGGACUGCACCUGACGCUCAAACACGAAAGCUAGGGGAGCGAACGGG